UAGAGUGGAGCGGUGACUGUGGGUGUUGACUGAGUCUCUGCUCUAGUGGGGCUGAUGUGGAUGGGAUGGGAGAGGGAGGCAGGGAUGAGGGCAAGAUUUCACGCAUCAAUUGUAUUUUGUGUAGCGAUGGCUCUUGCUUGGCUUAUUUCCUGCACUUGCAGAGAAAUCUUCGGGAGCAGCAGCAGGAGGAGAAACUAGCAGAUGCGGACCUGGGCAGCCUGGACAUCCUUCUAAGCACAGAUUAACAGUCCUUAGCUUUCUGCCUUCCACAUAACUGGCUGUGAUACCAAGGAAAAAUAAGUCACAUGUCAGAGUCUACUGCCCUCAUGCAAUGGAAAGUGAGUGAGAGCAGCAAGCCUGUGAGCAUUGUUCAUGCCAGGCAAGAGCUGUUCAUUUGGGAGCCAAGCAGAUACCACUGUCAGUGAGUUUGCAGAGGAAUCGUCCAGGAGCCCUCGCCGGAGGAGAAUAUGCAGAAGUGGAUC